rnacentral:tRNA from 1 species
GGGCCCAUAGUUUAGUGGAUAGAAUAGUCGGCUUCGGACCGACUGACCGAGGUUCAAUUCCUCGUGGGCCCA